rnacentral:rRNA from 1 species
CGGAGGGUGCAAGCGUUAUCCGGAUUCACUGGGUUUAAAGGGUGCGUAGGUGGCUUUGUAAGUCAGUGGUGAAAUGCUUCCGCUUAACGGAAGAACUGCCAUUGAUACUGCUUAGCUUGAAUCAGGUCGAGGUGGAUGGAAUAUUACAUGUAGCGGUGAAAUGCUUAGAUAUGUAAUAGAACACCGAUUGCGAAGGCAGUUCACUAGGCCUGAAUUGACACUGAGGCACGAAAGCGUGGGGAUCAAACAGGAUUAGAUACCCUGGUAGUCCACGCCCUAAACGAUGUAAACUCGACAUUAGCGAUACACAGUUAGUGUCCAAGCAAAAGCGUUAAGUUUACCACCUGGGAAGUACGACCGCAAGGUUG